GGAAUAUUGGGCAAUGGGGGAAACCCUGACCCAGCAACGCCGCGUGAGGGAAGAAGGUUUUCGGACCGUAAACCUCUGUCCUUGGUGAAGAGGAAGAGACGGUAGCCAAGGAGGAAGCCCCGGCUAACUAAGUGCCAGCAGCCGCGGUAAUACGUAGGGGGCGAGCGUUGUCCGGAAUGAUUGGGCGUAAAGGGCGCGUAGGCGGCCUGUUAAGUCUGAAGUGAAAGUCCUUCUUUUAAGGUGGGAAUUGCUUUGGAUACUGAUGGGCUUGAGUGCAGGAGAGGUAAGUGGAAUUCCCAGUGUAGCGGUGAAAUGCGUAGAGAUUGGGAGGAACACCAGUGGCGAAGGCGACUUACUGGACUGUAACUGACGCUGAGGCGCGAAAGUGUGGGGAGCAAACA
rnacentral:rRNA from 1 species